rnacentral:rRNA from 1 species
UUGACCUCGGAUCAGGUAGGGAUACCCGCUGAACUUAAGCAUAUCAAUAAGCGGAGGAAAAGAAACCAACAGGGAUUGCCUUAGUAACGGCGAGUGAAGCGGCAAUAGCUCAAAUUUGAAAGCUGGCGUCUUCGACGUCCGCGUUGUAAUUUGUAGAGGAUGCUUCGGCGAAGACUCCUGCCUAAGUCCCCUGGAACGGGGCGUCAUAGAGGGUGAGAAUCCCGUAUGUGGCGGGCAGUCUAAGCCAUGUGAAGCUCCUUCGACGAGUCGAGUUGUUUGGGAAUGCAGCUCUAAAUGGGAGGUAAAUUUCUUCUAAAGCUAAAUAUUGGCCAGAGACCGAUAGCGCACAAGUAGAGUGAUCGAAAGAUGAAAAGCACUUUGGAAAGAGAGUUAAAAAGUACGUGAAAUUGUUGAAAGGGAAGCGCUUGCAACCAGACUCGCUCGUAGUUGCUCAGCCGGCCUCUUGGCCGGUGUACUCUUCUACGAUCGGGCCAGCAUCAGUUCGGGCGGCAGGAUAAAGGUGUCGGGAAUGUAGCACCCUUCGGGGUGUGUUAUAGCCCGGCGCGGAAUGCUGCCAGCCUGGACUGAGGAUCUCGCUUCGGCAAGGAUGCUGGCGUAAUGGUUGUAAGCGGCCCGUCUUGAAACACGGACCAAGGAGUCUAACAUCUAUGCGAGUGUUUGGGUGUCAAACCCAUGCGCGUAAUGAAAGUGAACGGAGGUGGGAACCCCUCACGGGGUGCACCAUCGACCGAUCCUGAUGUCUUCGGAUGGAUUUGAGUAAGAGCAUAGCUGUUGGGACCCGAAAGAUGGUGAACUAUGCCUGAAUAGGGUGAAGCCAGAGGAAACUCUGGUGGAGGCUCGCAGCGGUUCUGACGUGCAAAUCGAUCGUCAAAUUUGGGUAUAGGGGCGAAAGACUAAUCGAACCAUCUAGUAGCUGGUUCCUGCCGAAG